rnacentral:lncRNA from 1 species
CUUUUUUUGUCCUUUGUGGUCGUAUAAAAUGUGUAUCCAUUAAUUUCAUAUGCUUGCCAUGAGGUGACAUUGCUUGAUGGCCCAAAUGCCAACCUGGUCAAUGUUACUUCUUCUGUGGAAUUUCCUUGAAAUAGCUACUCAUGAUCCUUCAACCAUGAUGGGAAACACCGCUUUUGCUCUUUGAUGAUCCAAUCCUCUUAGCGACCAUUACUUUGUCCAUGGACCUCAUUUAGGUGUUGCUCGAUGAAGAGAUCCACUAUUGCAAGCUAUUGUAGAAUGCUUGAAUGCGCUUUCUCCAAUUGUUGCUUGUCAUUGUCUAUAAAUCUUUUCAUUCCAAUGGUACCUCUCCCGGACAAUCUGCCCUCAUGUCGAGAUUUCAGUAAAUCAAUAGCUCUCUUAUCUUUUAUGGAAUCUAUGCAACAAUCUAAUGAGGACAUCACCUGCUCCGAUACAACCACAUUAGUAACUUUUGAUUCACAGGUGAAACAAUUCUUUACCAUUAUUGUAUUUGAUAUAUUUGAUGAAUUGAUGUUGCACCAUGAUGUGUGUUUGUUGUCAAUUUCAGAAAUACAUACAUGGAUAAAAAAUAGUGUUAAACACACAUGGAAGGUAUGGAGGAUCAAAGAAGUAGAUUGGGGGCCAAGUCCAAGUAUUCCCGACGUCCUCCACCAGGCCACCACGUCACUUUUGGCCAAAGGAAAGAAAGAGAUUCAAUCCAACCAUCACAAUCAACACUCUCUUCUAUAUGGUAGCUCUCGAUCAUGCUGCCCUCUGUAAAGGUCUUGUUUCUCAUGUAUCCAUUGAGAUUUGACAUGAACUAUUUGCAUGUCCACAUCUGAUGGAAGUACAUAGGCCCUAGUUCAGUUAUUUACUGAACCAUGUGGACCAUGAGAUAUUCCAUGAUAUUGAAAAAGGACGAAGGGAAGCACAUAUUGAGCUGGGCCUAAAUUUCCAGUACAAACAGUUGAAGCCUAGCCAACUCGACACGAUCGAUCACUUUCUACAAAAUCACGUUGAAGAAGUAACAUAUCCGUGUGAUAACAUGAUCAUUUUCAUUUACAUCAUCACCACCCACUUCGUCACGGUCACUGUCGAUGUCUGUGUUGUUGAAAGUACCUCCUGCCUCACAGUGGUGGGACCAAAUUGUGUAUCCAUCCACAAACCCUCGCUUUAUCAAAUACCUCUUGAUGACAUCAGUAUCAUCCCAUACAAUAUUGUUGCAAACGUGAGCGUGCUUCUUCGUAGCGUCUGACAUGAAAGUAUGCGAAUGUCUCCGUAUGCCAUACAUACAUGCUCUAUUACCCAUAUUUAACAACCUAUGACCAGAAUUAUAUGUUAUACUAACUAAUUUAAUGAGCUAUGGGUUGCAAUUCUAUAAACUAAAAUAAAUUAUGGAUGUAGUAACUAAUAAGUAGAAAGAAAUAUAAUAAAAAUAAUUCUAUAUUACCCUAAAUGAAACUCAAUUAAACCUUAGAUGUUAUAAUUAAUAAGAAGAAGGAAAAAAAUCAAACUUAAUUAUCUAUUAAUUCAAUCAACUUCAUUAAUUAAAACUAUGGAUGUAAUAAUUAAUAAGAGGAAAAAUAUAGUAAUUUGCCAGUUCUAUAUUACCCUAUAUGAGACUCAAUUGAACCAUGGAUGCAAUAAUUAAUAAGAAGAAGGAAAAAAUCGAAUUCAAUUAUAUAUUAAGAUAAUCAACUUCAUUAAUUACAACUACGGACAUAAUAAUUAAUAAGUAGGAAAAAUAUAAUCAAACUCAAUUCUAUAUUACAUUAAAAUGACAAACAUAGCAUUGUAAUGGUUAUAAUAUGACCAUAGAAUUUUAUUUAAAAAAUAAUCCAUUUCUAGUUAUUUUCUCUCUCUUCCCUCCUCUCUCUCCUAGUUCUAGAUCUAGAUGACAACCUAAUAAAGCUAGAAAUGAUGGAUAGAAGUUGAAAAAGAAGGUUGGAAUGACACAAACUCACCUUAUAUAGCCACUUCCUCCCAAGAAAUCAGGAACAAAACCUUCACCCUUGGAUUUGGUAUUUUUGGAGCUUUUCCCGAGCUCCACUCGGGCAAGCUCCAAAUGGAAGGUUGCCUGGGAAAGAAGAUGCCUGCGGCCUUAAAUGGGCUAGCUCUGUGCUGGCGAGCGACAUAAGCCAACCGCCAGCACAGUUGGGGUGCAUCUAUGCUGGCGGAUGCUUAGGUUGCUCGCUAGUACAGUGGCUUCUAUGCUGGUGGGCGACAUAAGCCCACUGCUGGCAGGUCCUUGCGUCGCCCGCCACCACAGUAGCUUCUAUGCUGGCGGGUGCUAAUCACGCCCGCUAGCACGCUAAUUUGCUAGUGCCAGCACAAAUCAAAUCUGGUGUAGUGAUGGGGGUAUGAAGCCUCUGGAGGUCAACUUGCGACAAAUAAUAGAGGCAGGAAUGAUUCGGGAUGUGCCGAUCAUCCUAGAUGUUUCCCAGGUCUCCCAUAGUCUCCCGCAGAUCAGCCUUGUAGAUCUGAUUCUUCUCUAUUCCUGAUCUUGUGGUUGUGCAAUGUCUAGAAUGUGGCGAAUGUGAAUAUCUUUCAUGUGGUCCUUCUGGGGGUAUAUAUAGUGCUGCUCCAAGUCAGUUUGCAGGCAUCUAUGGGUGAAUGGUCGAUGGAAAAAUUCUAGAAUCUUCGUAGACUUUGCGCUGAAGAAAUGAGAGCUCGAUCAAGAUCGAGAAUGGUCUAGGCUGAUCAGUUUGAGCCCUUUCUGGAUCUCCCGAUCUUCAUCUUCCUCAUGUGAGCCUUCCUCGACAAUCCUCGUCCAGUUGUACAACAAGAUUGUACCAAAUACCCUUUGAUUAUGUUGUAUUUCCUAGCAAUACAUAAUAUGCUUUGAAAUACAACAUAUACACAAUAAUGGGGUUAUUUCAUAUGUCAAGUGGUGGGUUAGAGUAACAAUUGAUCCAUAAUCAUCACUUAUUCAGUAGUAAAAAAGUGUCAUCAAGCUCUACUGGUGCAUUUUGGACCAGUAAUGGAACCUGUUACAGAGUUUAGGGACAUAAUACACGUUUUGAGAGUUUGGUGACUUGGUCGACAUAGCGGACAUGUUUGGGGACCUAUAUGACAUAGCGGGGCCCCUCAUUGUUCACAACUAGAGAAGGCCCGUUUAGUACACAUGCUCAACCCCCUUUAGUACCGGUUUCGCAACCGGUACUGCUAAGUCGGUACUAAAGGGGGGUCGUUUAGUACCGGGUCAAAUAACUAGUACUAAAGGGUCUAUAUUAGUACCGGUUGGUGUUAUCAACUGGUACUAAACUAUUUUUCGCCCUAAAACUAAAGAAAAAAAAUUGAUGAAUACCCUCAUUCGGGAUGUGCCGAUCAUCCUAGAUGUUUCCCAAGUCUCCCAUAGUCUCCCGCAACUCAGCCUUGUAAAUCUGAUUCUUCUCUAUUCCUGACCUUGUGGUUGUGCAAUGUCUAGAAUGUGGCGAAUGUGAAUAUCUUUCAUGUGGUCCUUCUGGGGGUAUAUAUAGUGCUACUCCAAGUCAGUCUGCAGGCAUCUAUGGGUGAAUGGUCGAUGGAAAAAUUCUAGAAUCUUUGUAGACUUUGCGCUGAAGAAAUGAGAGCUCAAUCAAGAUCGAGAAUGGGCCAGGCUGAUCAGUAGUGGUUGCAAGAAACACUACACGGGAAGAAGAAUACAUAUACUGGGCGCAAAUUAAGCACAUAAGUAUACACAUACUAGACAGCCAUCCUCUCUCCUCUUGUCCAAAUGCAAACAAUACUAGGGAAUCCACGUUUAGUACCGGCUCGGAACCUCCCUCUAGUACCGGUUGUGCAACCGGUACUAGCAAUUCGGUACUAGAGUGGGUCCUUUAGUACCAGUUGAAAUAACCUUAGUACCGGUUGCUAAAUUAACAUGAUGUAAUUUUCACUUAUUUUUAUACAUUUCAAAGAAUUACAUGAUUCCCUACAAUUUCUUAUACAAAAUUGUGCAUAUAUUUUAAAAAAUAAAUAUGAGCUCUAAAUAACACAUUCAUAUAAAUGAAAAAUUUCUCCAUUGUACCUUAUUCUAAAAAUCACAAAUUAUUCUAGCUCUAAAGCAUAAAACUUACUAUACUAACCAUGUAUCAAGGGAGGAUGAAGUUUCUAACCUUUAGAAUACUCGAAUGAGUGAAAUCCCCAACAAAUGGUCAAAAAUCCGGCAGCACCUCCCCUAUGGUGCCAUGGAUAGAGAAUAUAGAAAAAUUCUUUAAUUAGUGAGAAAUGAACAUUAUUUCCUACAAUUUGAUAACAUAAUUGUUGAAAUAACCAUUAAACUCAAAUGUUGCUGAAAGUUUAGAUAGAAAUACACAAAUUAAAAUUUUAGACCCAAACAAUAUGAUACACUACGACAAACUCAAAUGUUGUUGAAAGUUUAGAUAGAAAUACACAAAUUUAAAUUUCAAACGCAAACAACAUGAUACACUACGACAAACCAUCCAUUGAGUACUAUCUAGAAGGACUUUAAGCAUCCUUGGGCAGCGAACACGAAGGUUGCGCUAACCCAGCCUCAUCAUGUGGUUUAUUUGUGCCUUCUGCAACGGUAGUACUAAGUGGACCUGAAACACCUGAGACUGGCGGUGGAGCAUAACGACCACCAAAAUGAGGUUUUUUACCCACCGCAACAAUAUUUUUAUGACAUCUUCGCAAAUAACGAAGUAUUGCUUUCUCCAACGUGCUCAUUUUCUUCAGCUUAUCAUGAGAGCUAACCCCUUGUUGCGAGAGGAACGAUGAUCACCCCACCAUCGCCACUACCUCUAGCAGCAGAAGCCAUCUCUAUGUACCACAAUUUAUUUAGCUCAUAUUUACAAAUGACUAAAUUACGAACAAAUUAUAUAUUUUCCAUGUAAUUUAAUUAGCUCAAACAUAAUAUAUAAAUAAAAAAUUUCUCCAUUGUAGCUUAUUCUAAAAAUGACUAAUUACGUACCUCUAUUUCAUCUUAUUAUCGAUCUCUAUGUACCACAGUUUAUCUCGCUCGCAUUUGCCAUAAUUUAUUUAGCUCAUAUUUGAAAAAUACUAAACUCUAACAUCAUAUCAAUUUCUUUGACUAGUAUGAAACAUAGCAUCCAAACAAUUGUAGCUUAUUCCAAAAAUCACAAAUUACUCUAAGUCUAAAGCAUAAAACUUAGUAUACUAACCAUGUAUCAAGUGAGGAUGAAGUUUCUAACCUUAAGAACACUCGAAUGAGUGAAAUCCUCAAGAAAUGGUCACAAAUCCGACAGCACCUCCCCCUAUUUCGCCAUGGAUAAGGUGAAGCUCAAGUUGGAGGAGAUGGCUCGGGCUGCAGGAAGAAGGAUGGGUAUUUAUAGGAGGGAUUUUAGUACCGGUUGGGGGCACCAACCGGUACUAAAGGGGGAAAAUUAGUACCAGUUGAUGCCCUAACCUGGUACUAAAGGGGUGUGCCACAUUAGUACCGGGUUAGGGCAGCAACCGAUACUAAAGGGGGUGGCGCAUUAGUACCAGUUGGAUCCACCAACCAGUACUACCUUUAGUACCAGUUGUUGCCUCUAACCGGUACUAAGGGGCUCACAGCGCCCUCUCAGGGACUAGCCGGGCAAAAAGUGAUCAGUCUCGGGACGAGAGCUCCAUUCCCUAGUAGUGAAAGUAAGCAAUACAUGCGAGUUGAUGAGAACAAAAGAAAGAAGAAAUGCAUACUAGAAUUACAAAUCAACAGCCCGAAUUUGCAUUAAUAGAUACAGAAUGCGUCCUCCUUUGCUCUCAAAAGUUUUUCAUAGUACACUUUCCCAUCCAUGACGGACGUCUAGUUAGACUCGAGCUGCGCGUACCAGAUCCCCUGGAUCUUCACAUCCUUAGGUGCCUUGGCCCCAAGGUCGGUGUCCGACGGCUGCACACUCUCGAAGACACCGAUGACCUCGCCAGUUUCCGGGUUGCUCUUGGUGACGCUCAAUGUGAUGUUGCCCGUCGACGACGCAGCGUUCUUGAUGUUCUCCUUCACGAGCUCCUCCUCGUCUCCCCUGCCUCCGGCGGGGAGCGCGACGGCGUUGUCGUACCCGGUCGAACCACCACGGCCCUUGGGGUCGAGGAAGGAGGAGCCACGGUAGCUGGGCACAAGGAAGGGCCCGCCGAAGCUCUCGGGCUUGCCGGUGGCGACGAGCUGCUUGACGGUGAAGAGGAACGGCACGCGCUCGCCUCCUGGAAGCUGCACGGUGACGGCGGCGUAGUCGAUGCCGUCCUUCUCCUCGAACUUGAGGGUGCCGUCGGAGCCGACCUCGAGCGGGCCCUCGAUCUCGUCGAGGGUGUAGGUGAGGCGGGUCAUGAGCUUGGUCUUCUGGAACUCGGGCGGGGCGUUCUUGGCGAUGCCCUCGGCCUUGACGGUGAAGGACGUCGGCUCCAGGCAGAACUUCUUCAUCUGGUACUUGCCGGCCUUGAACGGGAAGGAGUCGACGCCGCCGUCGAUGGUCGGGCACUGGUUCGCCGUGCCCGUGCCCUUCACCUCCAUGUACGUCUUGCUCUGGAUCUCGUCGUAGGUCAGCCUCUUGGGCGUGCCCUCCGCGCUCGCGCCCUGUAACACGCACGCACACGUCAUCAAUUUGUCUCCCAAGUCCCAACUAUGAUAACAAAUCGGAUUCAGCCACGGUUGCUUACCGAGACGAGGAGCGCCGAUGUGGCGAGCGCGAAGCCGGCGAGCUUGGCGGCGUCGAUGCACUUGCUGGCGACCUCCCUGACGUCGGACUGCAGGGAGCACGAGAUCCUGCCCGCGCCGGCGUCGACGCCGAACGCCCUGGCGACGUGGGAGGCCUGGCGGGACGGCAGCGAGGCGGAGGCCCGGCCGCCGAUCUUGGCCGGCUGCAUUAGGGUGGCCGCGGCUUGGAGUGACGCUGCCAUGGUCGUCGUCGCUGCGCCUGCGCUGUCCUGCCUCUGGUGUGAGAUUGUGUGUCGCGAAAGGC